rnacentral:lncRNA from 1 species
GCCCCUUGCGGGAAGGCCUCCCAGAGGCCGUGGGGUCGUUUCUGGCGGCCUAAGUGGGCCUAACUUUUAGAGUCCCGAGGGUCGUCGCUGCCGGGGAGAUCUCCGCCCCAUUUCCGUGCCGCCUUGUCCUCAGGGCCCAAAGCCCCCUGCGCUAAGGGCCCUGUCCCAUCUCUGCCCUACACGCGGGAGUCAGCCUAAGGCGGAGCCCUAGGACAGCAGCCGCGCCUGACGCUGCUCGCCUGCCUAGCACAGGCAGGGGGUGAGCGGAGUCGGCUGCCUCCCUCCCCAGGGCCCUCCAAGGGAGUGGGCUCCACAUCCAUGGGCCCGAGGAAUCUGCGGAGAGACGGGAAGAGCAGGGGACACUCACAGGGCGGGGGUCCAGGCGGGAGUCCAGUAGUCCUCGUGGAGACAGCUGGGAAAGGCCUCGGGGCAAGGGACCUCGGAUUUCCUCCUCUGCCUCAAAACAGACAGUCUAAGCUGGGUUGUGAAGAAAGCUUGUUAACCUCAAGAUUCAGAAGCACCGUUCACAGCACAAGCUUUGGAGUCAAAUUCAGGCUGUUAACUUGCUGCGUGCGCCCCCGACUUACCUCUUUCUGCCUGUUUGCUCAUCCGUAAAAUGGGAACUGUGACUGAGUCUACUUUGAAUCUGAUUAUGCUGCAUGAACUCAGAAGACAGGGCUCAGUUGAGUGACUGCUCAGUUUACAAGAGCUGUUACUGUAGUUGGGAAGCGCCCUGAGACAUACAUGCACUGCAAAGUAUACAAAGGACCUGGUGCAGAGGAAGGGAAGUCUGUGGUCCAGAGUGGCACCUGAAGAUGAGCAUUUCGCAACUGGGACUCCUCCCUGCCACCUGGCCUCCCCUACUCAAUGAGCUUUUCCCUGUUGCUCUAUGAAGAACAUAGAUGUGUCCAUGAAGGUAUUAAUUUCCCUGAGGAAAGGUAAUAAAGACUGGAAUGUACCCAGAUAUAAAAUAAAAGGGAAGUGGCAAGUAUCUUACCUGGCACACAGUGGGAACAUAACCUGAGAUUUCUAUUUUCCAAGAUGGACUGAACGUCACAGGCAUCAGUAGAAGGCUGAGAUGGUCUAUUUUGAGGAGUGCUGUACGUGUUCGCGUGUGUGUGUGCACGUGCACACCCAUACACACACACACACACAGACUGAGAUUUUAAAAGACCCAGUAAAGCCACACCCAGUGGCUCGUGCCUGUCAUCCUAGCACUUUGGGAGGCUGAGUUGGGAGGAUCACUUAAGACCACGAGUUCAAGACCAGCCUGGGCAACAUAGGGAGGCCCCGAUUCUACAAAAAUUUAAAAUAUUGAUUGGGUAUGUUGGUGCAUGCCUGCAGUCCCAGCUACUUGGGAGGCUGAGGUGAGAUGAUUACUUGAGCCUGGCAGCGGGUCAAGGUUACAGUGAACCAUGAUAGCACCACUACACACCAGCCUAGGUGACAGCAAGACCUUGUCUCAAAAAAAAAAAAAAAAAA